UGAUUCGACCAUUCGACGGGUACCUGAAAUGUUUCGACGCUCUCAAUUAAAUUAAGGCGUGUCGCUAGAAUCAGAGUGUGACCAAAGCCAUAAGGACGUGGUUAAAGACGUUCAAAUAUAUUUCUGAAGGUCAAGAAGAGUCUGUGACUGCAGUUUGAUGAUUGAAGCCCAAACAAACCUGACAACCAUGUUCCUACAAUUCAUAUUAAUAAGUUGUUGCUUGGGCGUUGCUUCACCUUCACAUUGUCCCCCGGAUGAAUACAGAGCAGGAUUGGAGUGUUGCCCAUCUUGUCCGCCUGGAAUGCAUGUUGUGAAGGACUGCACAGAGAGAAUCAUUACAAAGUGCUCAAGGUGCCCCGAUGGUACUUUCCAAGCCGGCUUUAAUGAACAGAAGCGAUGCUCUAACUGUACAAAGUGUGACGCAGGUCUCGGUCUGAAGGUGAAGAAGUCGUGUUCAUCAACAUCAGAUGCUGAGUGUGAGGUCCUGGAUGGAUUCUUCUGUAGUGACUCUAACAGAGGUGGAUGUAGGACCGCUCAGAGACACACGGUUUGCAGUCCUGGUCAAUACAUCGGUCAAAGAGGAACAGCAGAUGAAGACACAAAGUGCCUUCACUGUACUGAUGGAACAUUCUCAGAUGGCACGCGGCCGUCUUGCAAGAACCACAAAAAAUGUGUUUCUGUGGGAGAGGUGCAGAUACAACUAGGAACUGAUUCAACUGAUUCUACAUGUUUUCGAAACCUUUCGAUUUUGUUAAUAAUGGGAUGCAUAUCUCUCAUUAUAUCAUUAGGCCUAGGAGGAAGGGGGCCUCACAAAAAUAGUAGCCUAGGGGCCAAUGACCACCUUAAUCCACCCCUGAUGAUGACAUGUAAUGAACCUAAUGUUCAUAUUUUACUCACAUAUUUAUUUUAUUGAAAAAGGAAACAUCGAAACAGGUGAAGGAGCGUUACGGUAAGUUCUUCUUCCACAUGUUACACUUUGUAAAUGAGUUACAGAUCAUUUAUUAAUAUCCAGUGAUGUGCAAGGGUUACUGACUCACACCUAGUCAAAUGAUAUCGCUGUGAUUCAAAACAUUUCAUCUAAUGCCGCUUUUCCACUGCAUGGUACCAGCUCGACACGACUCGACUCGACUCGACUCAGCUCGUUUCCACCGCGAAAACAUGGUAUCUGGUACCUGAAGUGGCUGCUUUUUCUAGUACCGCCUCGCUCUAGGUUCCAAGCGAGCUGAGCCGAUGCUAAAAGGUGACGUCGGCAGACGGCCGGCCACUGAUUGGCCAGAGAGUGUGACGAAGUCACGAGAGCGACAUGGCAACCAUGCUGGUAACAGCCAUAGCAGCGCCGCAGCCAACAUAUUCCACUUCUUCAACAUGCCAGCUAAUAAUAGUAAUGUUAUCGAUGUCCUCCAUUGUUGUUAUGUGGGUUCUGUCCAUGUGUGGGUUGCGUAGGUCUUGUUUGCGUCGCGUACACAAAUACGUCACGGCCCUUUCGCGCAGCCGACCCCGCCCACGUCCAGGAGGUACUAUUUGCGGUGGAAAAGGACCCGUGCUGCAACCGUGUCGAGUCGUGUCGUGUCGAGUCGAGUCGAGUCGAGCUACAUGUGCGGUGGAAAAGCGGCAUUAUUGUACCAGAGAGUCAGAGCCUACCUAGCAGAGGGACCAGAGUGGCAGACCUACUGAACAACAUCCUCUAGAUAUUAGAUUAUAGAAUGGAGCUAUCCAUGUAUAUAAGACACUACUCUCAUAGCUGGGGCGAUGUGGCCAGCAUAACGUCAGCUCAGUGGCGUUUAUAACGUAGCUCACUGAGUCGUCAUGACAACACAGAGCAGGGACAAAGGGUAGAAAGACUUCUGUCCUUGUUUGACCACGAUAAUGGCAGCCGUCUCCCUACACGUAUUCAGUCUGUCAAGAUGUUCUUCUGUGUGGAGGCUAAUCCAGAGUGGAAACCAGGAACUGGUUCAACUGAUUCUACAUGAUUAGAAUAUAUGGAGCAGUUCAUAAUGAUAGGAUGGAUAUGUUUCAUAAUAUAGUCCUUAGGAGGUAAGGGUUACAUUAAACUCUAUCAUAUAUCAUGUUCCAUUCAACUAACAUGUAUCAUGGUUACCUUAAACUAACAUGUAUCAUGGUAAUGCUGAAUGAUAGUGACUGUUGUCCUGACAUGUUACUGUAUUGUUUAUCUCUAUAUAGAAAUGAUUAAUCAACAUCUGGAGAAAAAGGAAACAACGGAACAGAAGAGGAAAGAACAUGAGGAGGUGAAGAAGUUAGUUGUGACUACACCACUAAUGUCCACUGACGGUCCUGAACCAACCAGGGACCAACAAGAAUGUACCAUAACUAUGGAGAAUCACAAUGGAGUCCAGCCCGACCCUCAAGCCCCACACAUAAUGGAUCUGUGUCAGUCUCAGUCCACCCCCCUCAGUCUUGUACCCCCCUCCCCCUCCCAGUCCACCCCCCUCAGUGUCGGUAACAAGUCACUUUAAAAACCAAAGUCCCAAGUUUCCCAGCGACCGUGUUUCACAGUUGAAGGGUAAUGACGUUGCAGGAGAAGAAGUAACCCGAGUUCUAGAAAACCUGGAUCCACCUUAAAGUGAAUCUGAUGAUUCAAACUGAGAAACUAGGGGAGGAAAUACACCAGUCUGAUUCCUUCCUGAUGCCAUCGUUCACUGGAGAAGAGGCGUGGUGUUUAUCAUCAUUAUUUGAUCAAUCCUCACAUUAUUCUUCUAUAUGUGGCUCACAGAGCAAAAACCAGCGAGGGGUUAAUAACUAGAGGUGUGAGGUGUGCUCUGUGAGGCGUCCUGGGGUAUGAUGGUAACGUCUGCUUGUGUCCACGCUCCCCCUCUCUUGGUCGACCACCGAGCCUUCUCCAGCCCCCUGAGUGUCUGUUCCUUCGUCGUCGGCCUCCUGAACGGCUCCGCCUUCCUCUCCGGGCUCCAGGGCGGACCCGGACAGCAUUCUGCUCCCCGGGUCAGCCUCCAGAGCGGCUCUGCACGUCCGUUGGUCUGAAGCACCCAGCGUCCGGGCGUCGUCCCCCUGGGACCUCCUGCUCCCUGGGGGACGCCCAGUUGGGACUUUGGGGAUGGACCUUGGCUCGCUCUCAGCGAUGGCGGCACCAGGCCUCCAGCUGAAGGGGUUGAGCGGAGCGCUCGAGCCGGGGUGUGUGGUCUGACCAACGCUGGGAGGGAGGCGGGGGCAGCUCCAUUGACCGCCUUGUAGGACAGAACCGUCGUCUGGAAUCUGAUGUGAGCGACUACAGGGAGCCAGUGGAGGUCGAGGAAAAGGUGCUAUUUAUUGGUCUUUUUUUGCAUUGUGUUAUGUUUCUUUUUAAUUAACUUUAUUUUACUCCCCGCAAUGUUAUGUAAAAUGCUGUACAUAGAAAGAUAAAAACAUGAGAUUGUUUAAUUAACUCCACUUACGUUGUGUGGGGUUGGCAUGACGAUGUGCCAUCCAAAAUAAUGUUCUAUAUUCCCAUUGUCUUUAGUCAGGUCAAGAUGCAUACGCACUAUGUUCAACCUCAUACUCAAAAUGACCUUUAAGAGUCAGGAACCAGCUGAUUCGUCAGGCUGGGUUGACGUCAGGUUCUGUCAGGGUCAGACGUCCCCUCGGUGUCACGAAUGCUACAUCCUGGGCUUUGGGACGCAACCUCGAUGAUUUAGGCAAGUCGUGCAGUGACAUCUGCUGGCGAAAUAUGUAACUGCACCCCUGGUUUCACUUUUGAUUUGACGCAGUUUUCAUUUGCUUGAUUUUGUUUGUCAGCUACUCUCAAAAAUCGGAAUUUAGAUCCAUAUCUAAAGGAUAUACAUGUUACAAUAUAACGCAGUAACACUUCUGGAACCGAGAUUAGUAGACGGCAGACAUAGGCCUGCCGCCUAUCACAAGUCAAGUGCUGUCCCGGCUUUUGCGCUUUCAAGAAACCAAUAUAAAUCAUUGAAAUAACUUCAUGGUCAAUGGCCCCGAUUUUUACCAACAGGUGUGAGUGUGAUUAACCAUUACAUGCAGUUUCAAAAUGCGACCCUCCGCUGUGACAAGGAAGGUCAUCCAGCAAGUGAAGUAUGUUUAGGUCAUGAAGUGGACGGAGCUUGGACGGCAGCGCAAAAAGAAGGCGGAGUCAAACAGUAGCUCCUCUCAAUAAAUACAUAUUUUCUGAAAUGACACAAUACUCUAAGGCUAUUUGUUAACUUGUCCAUGACCAUAUAGGCCUAACCAAGCGUAAGAUAAUUUUCCCCACAAUCCGAUUAUUUUUCAGUGUAUGGUAAAUUACGAUACUUUACCCCCAACCGUGCAAGUGAGAGAUGAAAAGUUACUUCGUUCUCGAUUGAAAUGUCACAGAAUUUCCAGAAAUCAAGUCAAACUGCAUAUCAUCAUGUGGCCCGAUAUUUUCUAUUUAGUUGUGUUUAGUUUAAUUGGCCAUCAUGCUUUUGCAUCAGCAAAUUGUCCCCUAGAUGAAUACAGAGUGGGAAUCGAAUGUUGCCCUUCAUGCCCGCCUGGAUGGCUUGUUGAAAAGGACUGCGCAGAGAGAAGCAUGACAAAGUGCUCAAGGUGCCCCGGUGGUACUUUCCAAGCAGGCCGUAAUAAACUGAAACAAUGCUCUACCUGUACAAAGUGUGACGCAGGUCUCGGUCUGAAGGUGAAGAAGUCGUGUUCAUCAACAUCAGAUGCUGUGUGUGAGGUCCUGGAUGGAUUCUUCUGUAGUGACUCUAACAGAGGUGGAUGUAGGGUCGCUCAGAGACACACGGUUUGCAGUCCUGGUCAAUACAUCGGUCAAAGAGGAACAGCAGAUAAAGACACAGAGUGCCUUCACUGUACUGAUGGAACAUUCUCAAAUGGCACAUCAACGUCUUGUCAGAAUAGUAAGUUAGUGAAAUGUGAAUCUGUGGGACUGAAACUGAUGAAACCAGGAACUGAUUCAACUGAUUCUGAGUGUGGAGAACAUGGUCCACACAGAGGACUAGAGAGAAGACAUGUGACAGGAAUAAUAUCAGGAGUCAUACUGGUAAUGGCUAUAAUGGCAUUAAUCAUAGCCAUUAUUCACAGGAAGAAUAAAAGAGAAACGACACCACUAAUGUCCACUGACGGUCCUGAACCAACCAGGGACCAACAAGAAUGUACCAUAACUAUCCCUGAAACUAUAGAUGAUCAUCAUGGUGACCAGAGACUGGAUCCAGCUCCACCCUCAAGCCCCACAGAUAAUGGAUCUGUCUCACUCCCAGUCCACCCUCCUCAGUCUGGUCCCCCCCCCCACCUCCUGGUCCAGCCUCCUCAGUCUGGUCCCAAAGACAAGCGAGGGGUUAAUAACUAGAGGUGUGAGGUGUGCUCUGUGAGGCGUCCUGGGGUAUGAUGGUAACGUCUGCUUGUGUCCACGCUCCCCCUUUCUUGGUCGACCACCGAGCUUUCUCCAGCCCCCUGAGUGUCUCUUCCUUCGUCGGCCUCCUGAACGGCUCCUCCUUCCUCUCCGGGCUCCAGGGCGGACCCGGACAGCAUUCUGCUCCCCGGGUCAGCCUCCAGAGCGGCUCUGCACGUCCGUUGGUCUGAAGCACCCAGCGCCCGGGCGUUAUGUGUCUUGAUUUAAAUGUAUUUUACUCCUUGCAAUGUUAUGUAUAUAAAAUAUUAAACAUAGAAGAUUGAGACAGAUAUACUUCCACAGUUUUUAACCUACUGCUGAAAACCAGGAAGCGCGCUGUUUAGGUUGCAGUGGCUGAAGACACCCAAGACGAAUAUUGGUGCAUCGGGCUUAUUUUGUAAUUGCUGGUUCACACAGUCCGUGUACACCUGCAAAAGGUGUAAAAAAAAAAAAUACAUGUAGAAUGGCGUUACCCUGUCUUGUACAUUUGGUUGUUCAUUGUAUAGUCAGAGAGAGGGAUAUUGUUUGGUUCUUUGGCAGACAUUGGUGUGAGCACUCGUUCACUGCACACGUUGUCGGUCUUGCUGUCCAUGUAUCAGAAGUUCAGGCUUCACAUUUACAAGUCCUACAUCGUAUUUGAUUAAGUUAUAUUUAUUUUGUAUGUAUUUGCCAUAAAUGUAUUGGCCGCCAAACAGAUAGGUGGCAGCAAGGCGCCCGAUGGCGUUGCAGUUUCCUUUUAUAUUUACAAGAAGAGAAGACGGACCAAUGAUGACUGCGGGUGCGGAAGCACCAAAUUCGAAAGGGUUGGCGCAUGGGAUAUUUUCAAGUUUAUGUUCUUCAAGUUGAGAUAUUUCAGAACGAACAUGCAUGGCAAUGAUGUGGCAGCCAAAAUAUAAAGUGUUGGACAUAUAACUUUUAAAGAAAAGCAUGUGAAAACAAUAAACCUUAUUCUACAAUAAAUUAAUUGCAGCCACAUAACUUUGCUUCCCUCAAAAUAACUUUUUGAUGGUUUAGGUU